ACUUUGGAAAGAGAGUUAAACAGUACGUGAAAUUGUUGAAAGGGAAACGCUUGAAGUCAGUCGCGUCUUCCGGGACUCAGCCUUGCUUCUGCUUGGUGUACUUCCCGGAUGACGGGUCAGCAUCAAUUUUGACCGUUGGAAAAAGGCUUGAGGGAAUGUGGCAUCUCCGGGUGUGUUAUAGCCCUUGGUCGUAUACAGCGGUUGGGAUUGAGGAACGCAGCACGCKCAWGGCCGGGGUUCGUCCACGUUCGAGCUUAGGAUGCUGGCAUAAUGGCUUUAAG
rnacentral:rRNA from 1 species